UUUUGGAAAACUUAAUGUUGUUUCAGGUGAAUAUUGUAAUCUUGUCAUCGAAAAAGGAGCAAACCACCGUUGAGGCCAUUCCAGGAUGAUUGGGAUGACACUUCAAAGAGUGGGACUUUCCAGUUUAGUCAUCGAACAGGGGGUACAUCAUCGAUGAACCAAUUCAAGGAUUGUCAAGAGGACAUCUCCUAGGAAAUCCGAGGUUCAUUGGAUAUGCCGUAAUACGAGAGUAAUCUACCCUGCCACAAAUGAUGCCUACCAGUUACCACCAUUAGGACCAAUUCAAGGAUCUUCAAGAGGACACCUCCUAGGACGCGAUCUUCAUUUUCGUACGGGAGUGUCGGUCGCGAGUGCUUCGGGGGUCUGGAUUGGAACUCCGAAGGCUCCAAUACCCGGGAUCUCGGAAUUUCGAAAUCCUGAGUUUUGGAAACUUCGGAAUUCGAAUUCAGGAUCUCCAAGACUGCAGAUCCCGAAUCGGGAUCUUCAGUUUUUGGAGAUUUUGAAAUUCGAAUUUCGAAGUUUCUAAUACUCAGUAUCUCGAAAUAUCCGAAAUUUUGCGUAAUGGGGCCUUCUAGUUCUAAUCUGGAUACCCUACCUCUGGGUAUUGUCUCGGAGGCUCUUCGAAUAACAAAAUAUUUUGCACUAGACCUGAUAGGCGUGAAAAAUUCAUUUUGUCUUUUUUAAAUUAAAACAAGUAAAA